rnacentral:lncRNA from 1 species
UGGGCGAGGCGGUUGAACUCUGAACAUUGAAGUCUUGAUAUCAGGUUCAGCUUCUGGUUCCAUUAGUUCCAUCUUAUUAGGGACUUCAGCCGAUUGCACUGGCUCGAUCUUUGUGGGAUCUUCUUCUUUUUCGGGAUCCUUACUUUAUUCAAUUCGUUGUUGUAGAAUAGAGUCUUUAGCUAUUUGAUAGAGGUCCCAAUCUGUGAUUGCGCCUUGGCUAUAACCUGUCUUCUUUACGUUUGCAAGAAUUUU